GAUGAACGCUGGCGGCAUGCUUAACACAUGCAAGUCUUACGGGAAUUGGUGUUUCCAGUGGCGGACGGGUGCGUAACGCGUAAUAACCUGCCCUUGGGAUGGGAACAACAGCUGGAAACGGCUGCUAAUACCCCGUAGGCUGCUGAGCAAGAGGAGGAAUCCGCCCUAGGAGGGGCUCGCGUCUGAUUCGCUAGUUGGUGAGGCAAUACCUUACCAAGGGAAUGAUCAGUAGCUGGUCCGAGAGGAUGAUCAGCAAAACGGGGACUGAGAAACGGCCCAGACUCCUACGGGAGGAAGAAGUGGGAAAAUUGGAGAAAGGGGCGAAAGCCGGACGAAGCAAUGCCGCGUGGAGGUAGAAGGCCUAGGGGUCGUGAACGUCUUUUCCAGGAGAAGAAGAAAUGACGGUAUCUGGGGAAGAAGCAUCGGCUAAAUCUGUG
rnacentral:rRNA from 1 species